rnacentral:rRNA from 1 species
UACGAAGGGGGCUAGCGUUGCUCGGAAUCACUGGGCGUAAGGGUGCGUAGGCGGGUCUUUAAGUCAGGGGUGAAAUCCUGGAGCUCAACUCCAGAACUGCCUUUGAUACUGAGGAUCUUGAGUAUGGGAGAGGUGAGUGGAACUGCGAGUGUAGAGGUGAAAUUCGUAGAUAUUCGCAAGAACACCAGUGGCGAAGGCGGCUGACUGGACAAGUAUUGACGCUGAGGUACGAAAGCGUGGGGAGCAAACAGG